GAUGGAAUAGCUUACAACAAAGCAUAACACUGAAAAUGUUAAGACAGUUUACACAACUUUCCCUCA
rnacentral:tRNA from 1 species